rnacentral:tRNA from 1 species
AAUAAAGUGCCUGAUUAAAGGAUUAUUAUGAUAUAAUAAAUUAUGUAUCUCAAAAUACCUUUAUUA